rnacentral:rRNA from 1 species
UACGGGGGGGAGCAAGCGUUGUUCGGAUUUACUGGGCGUAAAGGGCGCGUAGGCGGCCACCGCAAGUCAGUUGUGAAAUCUCUGGGCUUAACCCAGAAAGGUCAACUGAUACUGCCGGACUAGAGUUCGGAAGAGGCGAGUGGAAUUCCCGGUGUAGCGGUGAAAUGCGUAGAUAUUGGGAGGAACACCGGUGGCGAAGGCGGCUACCUGGACCGGUUCUGACGCUGAUGCGCGAAAGCGUGGGGAGCGAACAGG